AUGCUCAAAAUUCUCCAGGCCAGGCUUCAGCAAUACGUGAACUGUGAACUUUCUGAUGUUCAAGCUGGUUUUAGAAAAGGCAGAGGAACCAGAGAUCAAAUUACCAACAUCCACUGGAUCAUGGAAAAAGCAAGAGAGUUCCAGAAAAACAUCUAUUUCUGCUUUAUUGACUAUGCCAAAGCCUUUGACUGUGUGGAUCACAAUAAACUGUGGAAAAUUCUGAAAGAGAUGGGAAUACCAGACCCCCUGACCUGCCUCUUGAGAAAUCUGUAUGCAGGUCAGGAAGCAACAGUUAGAACUGGACAUGGAACAACAGACUGGUUCCAAACAGGAAAAGGAGUACGUCAAGGCUGUAUAUUGUCACCCUGCUUAUUUAACUUAUAUGCAGAGUACAUCAUGAGAAACGUUGGACUGGAAGAAACACAAGCUGGAAUCAAGAUUGCUGGGAGAAAUAUCAAUAACCUCAGAUAUGCAGAUGACACCACCCUUAUGGCAGAAAGUGAAGAGGAACUAAAAAGCCUCUUGAGGAAAGUGACAGUGGAGAGUGAAAUAGUUGGCUUAAAGCUCAACAUUCAGAAAACUAAGAUCAUGGCAUCCGGUCCCAUCACUUCAUGGGAAAUAGAUGGGGAAACAGUGGAAACAGUGUCAGACUUUAUUUUCUUGGGCUCCAAAAUCACUGCAGAUGGUGAUUUCAGCCAUGAAAUUGAAAGAUGCUUACUCAUUGGAAGAAAAGUUAUGACCAACCUGGAUAGCAUAUUCAAAAGCAGAGACAUUACUUUGCCGACUAAGGUCCAUCUAGUCAAGGCUAUGGUUUUUCCUGUGGUCAUGUAUGGAUGUGAAACCUGGACUGUGAAGAAGGCUGAGCACCGAAAAACUGAUGCUUUUGAACUGUGGUGUUGGAGAAGACUCUUGAGAGUCCCUUGGACUGCAAGGAGAUCCAACCAGUCCAUUCUAAAGGAGAUCAGCUCUGGGAUGUCUUUGGAAGGAAUGAUGCUGAAGCUGAAGCUCCAGUACUUUGUCCACCUCAUGCGAAGAGUUGACUCAUUGGAAAAGACUCUGAUCCUGGGAGGGAUUGGGGGCAGGAGAAGGGGACAACAGAGGAUGAGAUGGCUGGAUAGCAUGACUGACUCGAUGGACAUGAGUCUGAGUGAACUCCGGGAGUUGGUGAUGGACAGGGAGGCCUGGCGUGCUGCAAUUCAUGGGGUCGCAAAGAGUCGGACAGGACUGAGCGACUGA
rnacentral:lncRNA from 1 species